rnacentral:rRNA from 1 species
AACGCGAAGAACCUUACCUGGGUUUGACAUCCCGUGACAGCUGCAGAGAUGUAGUUUUCCCUUCGGGGACACGGAGACAGGUGCUGCAUGGCUGUCGUCAGCUCGUGUCGUAAGAUGUUGGGUUAAGUCCCGCAACGAGCGCAACCCUUGCCCUUAGUUGCUACCAUUUAGUUGAGCACUCUGGGGGGACUGCCGGUGUUAAACCGGAGGAAGGCGGGGAUGACGUCAAGUCCUCAUGGCCCUUACAUCCAGGGCUACACACGUACUACAAUGGCAGAAACAGACCGUCGCUAAACCGUGAGGUGGAGCUAAUCGGAAAAACACUGCCUCAGUUCGGAUUGAAGUCUGCAAUUCGACUUCAUGAAGUUGGAAUCGCUAGUAAUCGCAGAUCAGCACGCUGCGGUGAAUACGUUCCCGGGCCUUGUACACACCGUACGUC